GGAGGUGUCGCCUAGCGGCUAUGGCAUACGCUUGGAAAGCGUACGGGGCAACCCGCCGUGGGUUCGAGUCCCACCACCUCCG
rnacentral:tRNA from 1 species